CCCCUAGUAACUGCGAGUGAAGCGGGAAAAGCUCAAAUUUAAAAUCUGGCAGUCUUCGAUUGUCCGAGUUGUAGUCUAGAGAAGCAUUUUCCGCGUUGGACCGUGUACAAGUCUCUUGGAAUAGAGCGUCAUAGAGGGUGAGAAUCCCGUCCAUGACACGGACUACCAGUGCUUUGUGAUGUGCUCUCAAAGAGUCGAGUUGUUUGGGAAUGCAGCUCAAAAUGGGUGGUAAAUUCCAUCUAAAGCUAAAUAUUGGCGAGAGACCGAUAGCGAACAAGUACCGUGAGGGAAAGAUGAAAAGCACUUUGGAAAGAGAGUUAAACAGUACGUGAAAUUGCUGAAAGGGAAACGAUUGAAGUCAGUCGCGUUAUUCAGAACUCAGCCUUACCUUGGUAUGGUGCAUUUUCUGUUUAACGGGCCAGCAUCAGUUUUGACCGCUGGAAAAAGGUUAGAGAAAUGUGGCACCUUCGGGUGUGUUAUAGUCUCUGAUUGUAUACAGUGGUUGGGACUGAGGAACUCAGUACACCUUUAUGGUCGGGGUUCGCCCACGUUUGUACUUAGGAUGCUGGCGUAAUGGCUUUAAGCGACCCGUCUUGAAACACGGACCAAGGAGUCUAACAUGCCUGCGAGUGUUUGGGUGGUAAACCCGAGCGCGUAAUGAAAGUGAAAGUUGGGAUCUCUGUCGUGGAGAGCACCGACGCCCGGCCCUGAACUUCUGUGACGGACCUGCGGUAGAGCAUGUAUGUUGGGACCCGAAAGAUGGUGAACUAUGCCUGA
rnacentral:rRNA from 1 species